UUCAGUUCCACCAUCCUUAGCACGUUGACUUUGGACCACAUGUUUUUGCCUCCUGGUCCCAAAAUGGCUGCUGGCUCUCCAGUCUUCACAUCUGAAUCCAAUGCAGAAAAAAAGAGGAUCAAGGCAAAAGCUUUGUCUUAAGGAGAUUUCAUCUUUGUACUGGUUAAGAAAUGUGCUGCCCAACUACUGUGUGCUGGAUGCUGAAGAUAUACUGAUGGACAAAGAUAUACUGAUGGCUUUGAAGUUGAAACCUAAAGGCUGAGGAGGAGUUAGCCAGGAGUACUUGGCCCUGGUGCACCCCCCUGCCACUGAGGACAGCAAUUUGGACUGAGCUUUGGUGAGACUUCUUCUGGACUAAGCCAGCUUUGACGCAUCUUGACUGGGUUUGUUCACGCGUCUGCAGUCGACAAGUGGAUCACUUGGGCCUGGCAGGAUAAUGAUGGCCUCAGCUGGGAUACCUUGGACUGCUUUGGCUUCUCUCCAUGAGUUUGUUCAUCGUCUAGCAGUCUAGCUCAGGUUAUACGGUUUCAAGAGCUGCAAGAAGGCAAGUGCUUUUUAAGUCUCUGCUUGUGUUGCCACUGUUCUAUUGGCCAAAGCAAGUCACAUAGAGGGCACGGCCCCACUACCAAAGGAUGAAGACACAGGAGGCAUGAACAAAUUGGGCCAUUUCUGUAAUUAACCCACCGAAGCAGGUUGGGUGAAAAGCAGAUGGAUAUAGACUGGAUGCAGUGGUUCACACCUGUAAUCCCAACACUUUGGGAGGCUGAGGUGGGAGGAUUGCUUGAGCCUGGGAGGUAGAGGAUGCAGUAGCUGUGAUUGCACCACUGCACUCCAGCCUAGGCAACAGAGCAAGACCCUCUCUUGAAAGAAGAAAAAAAAAAGCAGGUGGAUAUAGAGAUAGAGGUGUCUGACACAGCUCAGAGAAAAUAAAUCAUAGGUCUAAAAUCUAAAUGCCUAGAGAACAUGGCACAUGAAUGAAUGCGACAUCCCUCAUUGUAGGCACCCUGGGACUUUGGUGACCCACACCCUAAGGGAAUCUCCACUAUUCACUCCCAUCCAAUCACUGCCAUGCAGAAACACCAGCCUGGGGUGGUCAAAGAGUCCCUUUUCUUUAUUGAAACCAGACAUCUGUAUUUUAGUAUAGAGUUUCUCACUGUUUAAAGGCUGCAGACAAAUUAAAAUUUUUAAAUCCUGGAUAGUCAGCUGAGAAAUAGGGAGACAGUUUAAACAGGCUUUUCACAAAAGAGAAAAAUUCAAAUGGCUAAUAAAUAUAUAAAGUAAUGCCUGACUUCAUUAGUCAUCAGAGAGAUGCAAAUUAAACCAGCAAUGAGGUACAGUUCACAUGACAAUCUCAGACACCACUGGUGGGACUGCAAGUUGAGGCAAGAUGUUGUCUAGAAGAGUUGAAGAUAUGCAAAGACCAUACUCAGAAAUUCCACUUCUUGGCACAUAUUAGGACAUGUGAGUCUAUAUUCUACACAGUCAAGAAUGAGCAUGGCAGCAUUGUACCAAACAGGCCGACACUGGAAACAACAUCAAUAAUAGAACCAAUAAAUACAUUGUCGUGUACCCAUAAAAUGGAGUGCUAUACAGCAAUGAAAAUGACCAAAAUAUUGAUAUAGGCAACAACAUGAAUGACUCACACAAACCUGAUGCUCAGUAAAAGAAGUAAGACAUAAAUGAAUGCAUAUUGUGUGAUUCCAUUUAUAUGAAGUUCAAAAAAGAACAAAACUAACCUACGUAUUUACGUAUCUGUACGUGGAUGAUAAAAUCAACUUUUAGAAGGGAGGAAAACCUUACGAAACAGCUUAGAUGAUGGUUACUUCUCGGGGCAG
rnacentral:lncRNA from 10 species